AUGGAUGAUGAUAUGCACUGGGCUCUGAGCAGCUAAAGCUGUUUCGUUUGAUGUAAUGCAAGCCUAGAAAGCUAUGUCUGACUA